CCCUUAGAUGUUCUGGGCCGCACACGCGCUACACUUGCAGGUUCAUCGAGCUUCAUGCCCUGAUCUGAGAAGAACGGGAAAUCUUUGAACACCUGCCGUGCUUGGGAUAGAUGUUUGCAAUUAUUCAUCUUCAACGAGGAUUGCCUUGUAAGCGCACGUCAUCAGCGUGCAUUGAAUACGACCCUGUAUUCUGUACACACCGCCCGUCGCUCCUACCGAUUGAAGUUUUCGGUGAAUUUACUGGAGAUCCCUUUUGAAGGUGGUUCGCCACUGGAAGAAGUAUUCAAAAGUAAAUGAAUCGAAUGCUUUAGAGGAAGGAGAAGUCGUAACA
rnacentral:rRNA from 1 species